GCCGUCCAGGUUACAGAAGAGAACCUUCUCUAUCAACAAAACUAACUUGCCUUCAGAAUUUAAAAUGGUCCACAGCAGUCGAAUUUUGUAAAAAGAAAUCAUGCCCUAAUCCGGGAGAAAUACGAAAUGGUCAGAUUGAUGUACCAGAUGGCAUAUUAUUUGGUGCAACCAUCUCCUUCUCAUGUAACACAGGGUACAAAUUAUUUGGCUCGACUUCUAGUUUUUGUCUUAUUUCAGGCAGCUCUGUCCAGUGGAGUGACCCGUUGCCAGAGUGCAGAGAAAUUCAUUGUCCAGCACCACCACAAAUUGACAAUGGAAUAAUUCAAGGGGAACGUGACCAUUAUGGAUAUAGACAGUCUGUAACGUAUGCAUGUAAUAAAGGAUUCACCAUGAUUGGAGAGCACUCUAUUUAUUGUACUGUGAAUAACGAUGAAGGAGAGUGGAGUGGCCCACCACCUGAAUGCAGAGGAAAAUCUCUAACUUCCAAGGUCCCACCAACAGUUCAGAAACCUACCACAGUAAAUGUUCCAACUACAGAAGUCUCACCAACUUCUCAGAAAACCACCACAAAAACCACCACACCAAAUGCUCAAGGUACAGAGACUCCAUCAGUUCUUCAAAAACACACCACAGAAAAUGUUUCAGCUAAAAGAACCCCACCAACUCCUCAGAAACCCACCACAGUAAAUGUCCUAGCUACAAUAGUCACACCAACACCUCAGAAACCCACCACAAUAAAUGUUCCAGCUACAGGAGUCUCAUCAACACCUCAAAGACACACCAUAGUAAAUGUUUCAGCUACAGGAACCCUACCAACUCUUCAGAAACCCACCAGAGCAAAUGAUUCAGCCACCAAAUCCCCAGCAGCAGCUCAGACAUCUUUCAUAUCAAAAACCCUAUCUACAAAGACCCCUUCUGCAGCUCAGAAUCCCAUGAUGACAAAUGCUUCUGCUACACAGGCCACACUAACAGCCCAAAGAUUCACCACAGCAAAAGUUGCAUUUACGCAGAGUCCUCCAGCAGCACGUAAGUCCACUAAUGUACAUUCCCCAGUGACUAAUGGUCUCAAGAGUACACAAAGAUUCCCUUCUGCUCAUAUUACAGCAACACGGAGUACACCUGUUUCCAGGACAACCAAGCAUUUUCAUGAAACAACCCCAAAUAAAGGAAGUGGAACCACUUCAGGUACUACCCGUCUUCUAUCUGGGCACACGUGUUUCACAUUGACAGGUUUGCUUGGGAUGCUAGUAACCGUGGGCUUGCUGACUUAGCCAAAGAAGAGUUAAGAAGAAAAUACACACAAGUAUACGGACUGUUCCUAGUUUCUUAGACUUAUCUGCAUAUUGGAUAAAAUAAAUGCAAUUGUGCUCUUCAUUUAGGAUGCUUUCAUUGUCUUUAAGAUGUGUUAGGAAUGUCAACAGAGCAAGGAGAAAAAAGGCAGUCCUGGAAUCACAUUCUUAGCACACCUACACCUCUUGAAAAUAGAACAACUUGCAGAAUUGAGAGUGAUUCCUUUCCUAAAAGUGUAAGAAAGCAUAGAGAUUUGUUCGUAUUUAGAAUGGGAUCACGAGGAAAAGAGAAGGAAAGUGAUUUUUUUCCACAAGAUCUGUAAUGUUAUUUCCACUUAUAAAGGAAAUAAAAAAUGAAAAACAUUAUUUGGAUAUCAAAAGCAAAUAAAAACCCAAUUCAGUCUCUUCUAAGCAAAAUUGCUAAAGAGAGAUGAACCACAUUAUAAAGUAAUCUUUGGCUGUAAGGCAUUUUCAUCUUUCCUUCGGGUUGGCAAAAUAUUUUAAAGAUGAAACAUGCUGGUGAACCAGGGGUGUUGAUGGUGAUAAGGGAGGAAUAUAGAAUGAAAGACUGAAUCUUCCUUUGUUGCACAAAUAGAGUUUGGAAAAAGCCUGUGAAAGGUGUCUUCUUUGACUUAAUGUCUUUAAAAGUAUCCAGAGAUACUACAAUAUUAACAUAAGAAAAGAUUAUAUAUUGUUUCUGAAUCAAGAUGUCCAUAGUCAAAUUUGUAAAUCUUAUUCUUUUGUAAUAUUUAUUUAUAUUUAUUUAUGACAGUGAACAUUCUGAUUUUACAUGUAAAACAAGAAAAGUUGAAGAAGAUAUGUGAAGAAAAAUGUAUUUUCCCUAAAUAGAAAUAAAUGAUCCCGUUUUUUGGUA
rnacentral:sRNA from 1 species